rnacentral:rRNA from 1 species
GACGAACGCUGGCGGCGUGCUUAACACAUGCAAGUCGAACGGAAAGGCCCUGCGUUUGUGGGGUGCUCGAGUGGCGCACGGGUGAGUAACACGCGAGUAACCUGCCCUUGACUGUGUGAUAACUUCAGGAAACUGGGGCUAAUACCGGAUAGGAUCUCCUGCUGCAUGGUGUGGGUUGGAAAGUUUCGGCGGUUGGGGAUGGACUCGCGGCUUAUCAGCUUGUUUGUGGGGUAGUGGCUUACCAAGGCUUUGACGGGUAGCCGGCCUGAGAGGGUGACCGGCCACAUUGGGACUGAGAUACGGCCCAGACUCCUACGGGAGGCCGCAGUGGGGAAUAUUGCACAAUGGGCGGAAGCCUGAUGCAGCAACGCCGCGUGCGGGAUGACGGCCUUCGGGUUGUAAACCGCUUUCGCCUGUGACGAAGCGUGAGUGACGGUAAUGGGUAAAGAAGCACCGGCUAACUACGUG